CGUUAACCUCAUUAACCCGGAGCGCCUUCGUUAACCUCAUUAACCCCUCUGACCUCAUUAACCAGAGCGCCUUCGUUAACCUCAUUAACCUGAGCGCCUUCGUUAACCUCAUUAACCCCUCUGACCUCAUUAACCAGAGCGCCUUCGUUAACCUCAUUAACCCCUCUGACCUUGUUAACCUCAUUAACUGCUGACCUCAUUAACCAGAGCGCCUUUGUUAACCUCAUUAACCCCCGACCUUGUUAACCUCAUUAACCCGGAGCGCCUUCAUUAACCUCAUUAACCUGGAGCACCUUCGUUAACCUCAUUAACCCCUCUGACCUCAUUAACCCGAGCGCCUUCGUUAACCUCAUUAACCCCUGACCUUGUUAACCUCAUUAACCCGGAGCGCCUUCGUUAACCUCAUUAACCCCAGAGACCUCAUUAACCUCAUUAACUGCUGAUCUCAUUAACCCGGAGCACCUUUGUUAACCUCAUUAACCCCUGACCUUGUUAACCUCAUUAACUGCUGACCUCAUUAACCCCAGGGACCUCAUUAACUCCUCUGACUUCAUUAACCUCAUUAAUCCCUGACCUCAUUAGCCUCAUUAACCCCUGUGACCUCGUUAACAUCUGACCUCAUUGACCUCGUUACUCUCCACCUCAUUAAUCUCCCCCAGCACCCAAUGAUCCUUAAUGAGUCCCCAGCAAUUAAUGAGCAUCACCAAGCUCCCUGCCCCCUAACGAGCCCCUCCAGGUCCCUAAUGAGCCUAAUGAGCCUUAAUGAACUCCCCAUAACCUAAUGAGCCCCUCCAGGUCCCUAAUGAGCCUAAUGAGCCUAAAUGAACUCCCCAUAACCUAAUGAGCCCCUCCAGGUCCCUAAUGAGCCUAAUGAGCCUUAAUGGGCCACCACAUCUGGGUCCCCUCCACUAACGAGCCCCAGGACCUUCACUGCCUUCUAAUGAGCCUUAAUGAGCUCCCCAUAACCUAAUGAACUUCUCCAGGUCUCUAAUGAGCCUAACAAGCCUUAAUGAGCUCCCCGUAACCUAACGAGCUUCUCCAGGUCUCUAAUGAGCCUAACGAGCCUUAAUGAGCCUGCAGCACCCAAAGGCGGCCAAGAUUGGGGUCCCCCCUGCUGACCCCCCCAGCUCCUCCACAUCCUAAUGAGCUCUAAUGAGCCUUAAUGAGCCCUAAUGAGCCCCUCACCUGCUGAGACCCCCAGCUCCUCCACAUCCUAAUGAGCUCUAAUGAGCCUUAAUGAGCCCUAAUGAGCUUCCUCACCUGGCUCCCCUCACCUGCUGACCCCCCAGCUCCUCCACCAUCCUAAUGAGCAUUAACAAGCCCUAAUGAGCCUUAAUGAGCCCUAAUGAGCCCCUCACCUGCUGACCCCUGACCUGCUGACCCCACACCUGGGUCCUCUCACCUGGGUCACCCCCAGCUCCUCCACCACCCUAAUGAGCACUAAUGAGCACUAAUGAGCACUAACGAGCCCCCACCACCGGCUGACCCUUCACCUGCUGACUCCACACCUGGCUCCCCUCACCUGCUGAGCCCCCCCAGCUGCUCCACCAUCCUAAUGAGCCUUAAUGAGCGCUAAUGAGCCCCUCAUCUGCUGAACCCCCAGCUCUUCCACCAUCCUAAUGAGCCUUAAUGAGCCUUAAUGAGCCCUAAUGAGCUUCCUCACCUGGCUCCUUCACCUGCUGACCCCCCAGCUUCUCCACCAUCCUAAUGAGCUCUAAUGAGCUCUAAUGAGCUCUAAUGAGCA